rnacentral:rRNA from 1 species
GGUUAAGCGACUAAGCGUACACGGUGGAUGCCCUGGCAGUCAGAGGCGAUGAAGGACGUGCUAAUCUGCGAUAAGCGUCGGUGAGGUGAUAUGAACCGUUAUAACCGGCGAUUUCCGAAUGGGGAAACCCAGUGUGUUUCGACACACUAUCAUUAACUGAAUCCAUAGGUUAAUGAGGCGAACCGGGGGAACUGAAACAUCUAAGUACCCCGAGGAAAAGAAAUCAACCGAGAUUCCCCCAGUAGCGGCGAGCGAACGGGGAGGAGCCCAGAGCCUGAAUCAGUGUGUGUGUUAGUGGAAGCGUCUGGAAAGGCGUGCGAUACAGGGUGACAGCCCCGUACACAAAAAUGCACAUACUGUGAGCUCGAUGAGUAGGGCGGGACACGUGGUAUCCUGUCUGAAUAUGGGGGGACCAUCCUCCAAGGCUAAAUACUCCUGACUGACCGAUAGUGAACCAGUACCGUGAGGGAAAGGCGAAAAGAACCCCGGCGAGGGGAGUGAAAAAGAACCUGAAACCGUGUACGUACAAGCAGUGGGAGCCUCUUAAUGGGGUGACUGCGUACCUUUUGUAUAAUGGGUCAGCGACUUAUAUUCUGUAGCAAGGUUAACCGAAUAGGGGAGCCGAAGGGAAACCGAGUCUUAACUGGGCGUUAAGUUGCAGGGUAUAGACCCGAAACCCGGUGAUCUAGCCAUGGGCAGGUUGAAGGUUGGGUAACACUAACUGGAGGACCGAACCGACUAAUGUUGAAAAAUUAGCGGAUGACUUGUGGCUGGGGGUGAAAGGCCAAUCAAACCGGGAGAUAGCUGGUUCUCCCCGAAAGCUAUUUAGGUAGCGCCUCGUGAAUUCAUCUCCGGGGGUAGAGCACUGUUUCGGCAAGGGGGUCAUCCCGACUUACCAACCCGAUGCAAACUGCGAAUACCGGAGAAUGUUAUCACGGGAGACACACGGCGGGUGCUAACGUCCGUCGUGAAGAGGGAAACAACCCAGACCGCCAGCUAAGGUCCCAAAGUCAUGGUUAAGUGGGAAACGAUGUGGGAAGGCCCAGACAGCCAGGAUGUUGGCUUAGAAGCAGCCAUCAUUUAAAGAAAGCGUAAUAGCUCACUGGUCGAGUCGGCCUGCGCGGAAGAUGUAACGGGGCUAAACCAUGCACCGAAGCUGCGGCAGCGACACUAUGUGUUGUUGGGUAGGGGAGCGUUCUGUAAGCCUGUGAAGGUGUACUGUGAGGUAUGCUGGAGGUAUCAGAAGUGCGAAUGCUGACAUAAGUAACGAUAAAGCGGGUGAAAAGCCCGCUCGCCGGAAGACCAAGGGUUCCUGUCCAACGUUAAUCGGGGCAGGGUGAGUCGACCCCUAAGGCGAGGCCGAAAGGCGUAGUCGAUGGGAAACAGGUUAAUAUUCCUGUACUUGGUGUUACUGCGAAGGGGGGACGGAGAAGGCUAUGUUGGCCGGGCGACGGUUGUCCCGGUUUAAGCGUGUAGGCUGGU